CACUGAUCUGCCCAGGGUCAGACGAAUGCUUGUCAGUUGUAGCUUUCCAGGAUUCUGCUCCAAUGAGGAGGAAACAUCCUGCCUUACCCCUGUUUUAGCCUGGGAACCAGUAAUUGUGAACUCACCAGGGUUAACAUGAAGAGGGCAUGAGAGCUUAUUCCAUAAGGAAUUGUCUGAGACAUUUGGUUACCUUUUCUUAGUUUGUCCAUUAGCAACCGUAACUAAAAUAGUUUUGGCUGUUUGGGAUAAUUAGCUAAUUGAAUGAUUUUUUGAUUCAGGAGCAGCUUGUUGCUAUAUACCAUUGAAAAGCCUUCAGAGCUGAGAGGUUAGUUGAUAUUUUUUGUUCCUUACAGCUUAUGCCACCAAGUAGGCAGUUUCUAUGAUGAAUCAAACUAGCUCACUAUGACCGACAGUGAAAAUACAUGAACACCUGAGAAACUGGAGAACGCAGGGAGUGGGGGGUAACCAUGUCUGAGGAAUCUUUCACCCACAGCUUUGUUUUUCUCUAGGUACUACUAACCAAUAACCUGCUUGGCUCAAAGGGCCAGCACCUUCUCUCUAAAGCCCAAGAGGAGUUUGAGGAAAACUAGGUGUCUGUGUUCACUCCAGGCUGAAGUUACAGGUG
rnacentral:lncRNA from 1 species